rnacentral:rasiRNA from 1 species
UGCUUCUCGUCGAGGGAAAUUCCCG